AUGUCGCCUGGAGCUCUGCGUUUGCUUCUCCCAGUAGCAGCUCUUCUCAUGGGACUUUGUCGUGGAGAUUCUGUCUCACAAACAGCGGCUGCAAUUUCAGUGAAUGAGGGUGAUGAUGUCCUGUUGUUCUGUAAUUACACUACAACAAGCAGUAACCCUAACCUGUUCUGGUACCGUCAACAUUCCAGCGGCUCCAUACAUUUUCUACUGCAGAAAAACCGAUAUAGUGAGAAUCGAGCGAGCUUACUGAAUGACCGGCUUUCCUCGGAUUUUGAUCAUGUGAACCGCACUAUCCAGCUGAGAGUGUUGAAAACAGAACUAUCAGACUCCGCAGUGUAUUUCUGCGCACUGAACCCCACCACAUCUGACACUAAUGCGAAGGUAAUCUGGAAUAUCAUCAGUUGUGUUUUCAUUGAUUACUUGAAUACCGUGACAAUAAAACCAGGACCUACGGAUAUUAUAGAUUUGAAACAAAAGACAAAUUGCUUACGAAACUCUGCAGGUCUGGCAGCAGCUGUGAGGACUAAUGAGAAUCAACUUAUCAAGCCCGAUGACUCUUUGUCAUAA